GACGAACGCUGGCGGCGUGCUUAACACAUGCAAGUCGAACGGAAAUUUCCUGCUGAUGGGGGGUACUCGAGUGGCAAACGGGGGAGUAGCACGUGGGUAACCUGCCCGGGAAUUUAGGAAACCGUCAGGAAAAAGAGGCUAAUACCGGAUAGGAUAUCCUGCUACAGGGUGUGGGUUGUAAAGUUAGGGCGGAUGGGGAUGGACGCGCGGCUUAUCAGCUUGUUGGUGGGGGAGUGGCUUACCAAGGCUUUGACGGGUAGCCGGCCUGAGAGGGUGACCGGCCACAUUGGGACUGAGAUACGGCCCAGACGCCUACGGGAGGCAGCAGUGGGGAAUAUUGCACAAUGGGCGGAAGUCUGAUGCAGCAACGCCGCGUGCGGGAUGACGGCUUUCGGGUUAUAAACCGCUUUCGCCUGUGACGAAGCGUGAGUGACGGUAAUGAGUAAAGAAGCACCGGCUAACUACGUG
rnacentral:rRNA from 1 species